GAGAACACUGUGGCUUUCAAAGUGCAAGGAACUGCAGUGUCCAAAAUGUAAGUGACUAGGCUAAUCCCCAUAGCGUUGGGUCUGGGAUUUGCAUCGCACACCCAGGGAACCACUCAAUAUUUGUGGUGCAGGCUUUGAAGGCCAUAUGCACAGAAAGAGAGAAUUGGAUGUCCUUUAGGCCACCGAGGGACAGGAUGUUUUGGUGCCUGGGUCAAUGCAGGCAUGCUGCCAAUCACACCACCAUGGGAGAGGCAAUUCUCAACUUAGCGCCAAAGCCAUGGCACGGGGACAAAUGUAGAAAAACCACACAGCCUGGCUCAGUUCUCUCUGCCCCCACCUGUCAACAAAUAAGGAUGGAGGAUUCAGGGAAACCCACAUUGGUUUAUUGGCAGUUUGAAGCUUGCUCACCAGGCUUGCCCUGCCAAGGCAAAACCCAGAUGCCAAAAUCAUCUCUCCUUCCUCCUUUUGACAAAAAUCUCUUUGUUGUCACCUAACCAUUUUGCUGUAAAGAGCUAAUAAAAUAAUUUAUACUAAUGAAGUAAUGACUUAGGUAGUAAGUAGCUCUUAAGAUGGCAUCCUUUGAUCCCUGCCUCCUGUACCCACAGCCUUGGAUAGCCCUGCCCCCUGAGUAACUUCCUUCUAGGCAACAGAGUAUCUCAAUAUCAAGGAGGUGUCACUUCUGUGAUUAGAUUAUGAAAGAUUACUAUGAUGUCUGUCUUGCCAGCAGACUCACUCCAUAUUGCUUUCUGAGCUUGCACACUUUUGGUGGCUCGAGUGUGCCAGUUGGAGAGGCCCACCUGAGGAGGAGCUGAGGUCAGUAUAGGUGUAACAGCUGCAGGAAGCAGAAGUUGGCAGUUCAAUCAACCUCAAGGAACUAAAUCUAAGUAAUCAUCAUGUGACUUUGGAAGCAUAUUUUCCCCAGAUGAGCCUUCAGAUAAGAGCACAGCCCAGAGUGACAACUUGAUUGCAGCCUUCCAAGACCUUGAAACAGGGUGUGCUUAGACUAGCUAACGUGAGCCUGGGUUCCUGGUUCACAAGAACUGUGAGAUAAAGUAUGUUGUUUUAAGUCAUUCAUUUUGCAGUAAUUUAUUGUGUAACAAUAAUAACUUGUACAACUGAUAAAGAUUUAGCGAGCUUUCUUUUCUGGGGAAUGGUCCAUGAUAACAGGCUAUUACACCUUAACCAGACAAAUGCAUUUCUUAUAUGGGUCACAGUGGUGGGCCGGUUGGGCAAUACUGUAUGUACAUGGAAUAUCGAUAGGGACAGGUUUCUAGAGCUUGAUUUUGAGGAUUGCCAAAAAAGUACAACUUCCUUCGAUUGUGUAGGUCUUUGUUUCUUGGUUGUGUCCCUCUGAUGGUCUGAUUGCUGUCACCAUGGUACUCUCAUCCUGUUUUGCAGAGGCAGGACAAAUCUCCAUUCCUGGGUUUUCCUGCUGACAGCUACUUGAAUGGCUUCCUAUCCAUUUGUUUGGCAAUUACCAAUCUGUGACCUCCCUCUUUUCCUUAAAAAUUAACGUUCCUUCAAAAUGGGAAGGUACAUUCUGGCGAACUAUAUAUCAAAGCAUUUAAGAACCUUGUCUUUGGAGCCUCACUUUGAUUGUGCCCCUCCCCUUUCUACUCAUGUGAGAUAAGCUCUCAUUAUCUCAGUUUCCUCAUUGCAAAAAGGUUAGGAUCAUGCCAAUCUCCAUAUGGUUAUUAUAAAGAUUAAUUGUAAAUCCCUUAGAACUCUGUAUUGAGUACUUGGUAAACAGCUAACUAAUGAGUGAGCAUUCAAUAAGUGUUAGGUUAUUAUUAUGGCUUUAACCGAUUCUCUCCUAAAACGCUUGAUUGUCCCUGAAUCUCUGACAGUAGAAUAUAAAUUCUGCCAAUGGACCAAUAUCUUUGUCACAGCUUUUUUCUGGAGUUUAAGAUAUGCCUGCGUCCCAAGGUGGCUGACUCCUUCCAGAACACCCUGCUUUUCUUCUUCAUGGCUGUCAGGAGAACUGGGACCUCCUCCCAGCUCUACCUCUUGUCCUUGUGAACCUUAGUUUCCCCAUCUGUGAGUUCAGGCUGAAAACAGCUCAACGAUCCUUAAAGGGGCUGUGUUAAGAGCCAAAGGUGUGAGAAGCUGAAGAGCACUGGAGACUCUCUGACACUCCAAAAUGAAGUUAGAAAACUCAGAGAAUGAGGGCCAGAGCUUGGGGAAACAUCAAAGAGGAGAAGUAGAGAAGUGAAAAAGGAAAUCCCAGACCCUGGGAUUCUCAUCUCAAUCCCCAGAAAGAGUGAUGGCUGCCAGCUUCCUGCAGGAUGGCAGGUGCUUGAGGCAGAGUCAAGCAUAGAGACCAGGUAGCCUGAGAGAUAAAGACUUGGCUACUGGGCCUUCUACCCUGGACUUGGGUCAGGUUCCAACCAUGCUAAAGCCACACUAUGAUUUUUUAAUUUUUAAAUUUGUUUUAAUUAGUAAUACAUCACAGUAGAAUGCAUUUAUGCACUUUGAUAUAUCACACAUAGAUGGGAUUCAAAUUCUCAUUUUUCUCAGUGUACAUGUUGCAGAAUCAUAUUGGUCAUGUAGUCACAUAUACACAUACAGUAAUCAUGUCUGUUUCAUACUAUCUUUCCUGUCCCCUCACACUGUGAUUUUCAUCUCAGCGGUGACCCUCUAGGUGUCAGAGGCCUGGGCCCAGAGGCUGUGGGUGAAGUGGGCAGAUUCAUCCAGUCUUGUUCCAGACAAGGGAGGAAUAGGGCAGUCCUGCCAACCGUAACACCAAGGCCGUUAUCAGGCAUGCCUCAAAAUGGGUUAAUGAGUAGACAUUUUGGUGGUGACAUGUACUUAGCCUUAUUACUGGGAGCUAGUGCAUCAGAACCUGGGCUUUCUGGGUGACAGUCCAAGGUCAGGGUGCCCUGGGAGGCCCUGUUGAGGUCCUACAGAGUAUCUCCUGGGUGCCUGUGGGGGGUCUCAGGCAGACCCUGUGAUUCUGCCCUAGCAACUGUCACACUGAAUAUGAAUAAUACCAUGUGACCUCCCAGAGACAGAACAAGUAUCCUGGGAAUCGAGGGGAGGUCUUGGUUGGUUCAUGUGGAUCCUCAGUGCCUGGGGCUGGAAGCAGGUCAGGACUGAAUGAGCAAUUAAAUAAACAAGUAAAUGAACAAAUGCAAAGAAGUAGCCCAUCCCAAUUAUUAAUUAAUCCUGGUGAAAGACAGCUCAGGUAGUUUGCAAGCUGGGAGACUCAGCCUCCUGCAUUGUCCUGGGCCAGUCACUUCUGUUUCUUUGAUCUUGAUUUUGUCCUCUCUAAGAAAGGGCCAAAUAAGGUUGAAUCUCAAACUGUAGGACCCACAGGCCACAACAGGUCAUAAAGGAGUUUUGUUUGGCCCUCACUGAAUUUUAAACAUACAAAAUUUGAAUGUAUUUAGGCAGGGUAACCACACCACCCCGUCCAGUGGCCUGCAGUAGCACCUCUUGCUAGCCCUGGGUCCACUCUGCAUGUUUACAUGAGCAGCUUUGGCCCCCAAGGACAUUCGAAUCUGCUAACUCUGGCAUCAGAAACCUUCGGGGCUCUUUUAUUUGACAUACUGGAAUUCUAUGAAGAGGGUUAAUAAAUGGAAUAAAACAGGGGGUAGGGGAGAGCAGAGGGAGGGAAGAGAAAAGAAAAAAAAGGGCUGAGAAUAACAGGUGUGUUAGUUUUUGGUCUCUGAGCAAAAUGCCUGAUAAGAACAACUUAGAGGAGGAAAAGUUUAUUUUGGUUCAUGGUCUCAGAGGUUUCGGUCCAUGGUCAGCUGACUCCAUAGCUCUGGGCCUGAGGUGAGGCAGAAGAAUGUGGCAGAGGAAAUCUGCUCAGCUCCUACCAGCUGGGAAGCACAGAGAGUGUGCAAAAAGCCAGGGACGAGAUAUCAUACCCAAGGGUAUGCCACCAGUUGCACAGUUACCAGCCAGUAGUCCACCCCAAUUAUUAAUUAAUCCAUCAAAUGGGUUAAUCCACCUGUGAAGUUACAGCUCUCAUAAUCUAAUCAUUUCACCUCUGAUGAUUCCUGUACUGCCUAACAUAUCAGCUUUUUCGGGGGGGGGGGGUACUCAUAUCCAAAUCUGCAUAAGGACUCAACCUCCUUUGAGGGCCAGCAACCCCUUCCAAUCCGAGUCACUGUGGGGAGUGGCACAGCUUGCCUCUGGAGCUCCUCGUAGCUGCUAAAGGGAUCCAGGUAAUUUCACACCCCCAAGCCCAGGAGGGGCUCCAGGCUGAAAGCAGCAGGGCCCAGAGGUUCUGUGCCUCUGGCUGCAGUGCUGAAUUAUUAAUGUUCAUUUCAGUUAUCCUUCGGUUCAGCAGAAAUAUGACAAAGCAAUCUCAGAUAAUGAAAUCACCCACAAGUUCUGCUGUUCACAGCAGGUUUUCAGGGGGCAAAUUUUGCCCCCACCUUCACAGCGCUGAUUGAGUUAUGUGUUUAUGGGUGGGGGUGCAAUGCCCGUGUUAUUGAUCAGUGUGUAGUACAUAGAUUAGAGUGACCUGAGGACCUUUCUCUCAGCAGGUCAGUGACUGCUCUUGGCCAGCAAGUGGAAGAGGGACCUCUGCAGAACAAACAGCUGUCGUUUCUGAGGGGGUAUCUUGGGGAUGUCAGGAGGCCACGUAGCCCCACCCAGCCUGAAAAAUCUUCAUUUUUCUCCAUGCUUCUCUCAAUCUACCUGUCACUGAAUCUUCACCAUUUGAGUGGCAGCUAAGAGCUCAUCUAAGCUUUAUUAAUAAAGGGAAGGGACUUUCUGCUGUCUUUUCAACUCUUGCCUUCUCUCCUCUCUGCCAUCUCUCUGUUGACCACUUAAUGGUAAUUUUUUUUCAUUAUCUAAGCAAUUAGAAAACUAAAAUUAACAAUCAAUCACUUGGAAACUCCAGGAACCCAGAUCAGAUAUAACAGGCAUGCCAGAGGGCCAAAUCUGACACUCAAAGACAUAUUUUGCUUCUUUCAUAUCUGAACAGAUAAAGUGGAUUGGAGACACCCACUUUAGUUGCCUACAUUUAAAAAUUGGGAAUAUCACAUGAAGGUCCUGAGGGAUUGUCCUUCUGAAAUACCAGAACAUCUAGAUGUCCCAAGCCCACAGGGUAACAAUUGUCUGGUGAUGAAGUGUAAGUGUCAGUGUAAUUUAUGUUCAGUUCUUUGAACACUGGCACUCUAUGCAGGCUGACACAAAACCAGAAGUGGGUUAACUAGCAUAGGCCAGUUCCUGGUGCUACAAAGAAGGCAAAUGAUCUUGGAGGAUUCUACCAUAAAUAUAAUGAUCACAUAUUAUUUUUUCUUAAGGUAUUUGUCUUUAAUACUUUGGAAAUUUAAAAACUAGGUCACAGAUCUCCAAUUACUAUAAUCUUAUGCCUUUGUAGAAGAUUUAAAAAAAACCCACCCAAAGAAUAAAAAGUAUUUUCUAGCUACAGUAGAGUGACUAGACCAAUGUCAACCUGGGGUAUGUGGAGGGGGUGUAGGAUCAAGCUGGGAAUAGAUGUGGUGUGGAGCAGAUGAAUAUACUCAAACGAGCUUUUGUGGGCAGGUACUGUGGUGCCCCUGCACUAAUGAUGACACUGAGUAACACUGGAACUGUAGCUGUUGGGCCACCUAUGGGCUAAUCCUCGGAAGUUGUGCUUUGUGCCAUUCAUGUUGGAUUUGGGAAUGUUCUCCACUCUCCAUCACAUCCCUUAACAAACCCUGUUGACUUAGUCACGGGACUUUCUCUUCUUCAGAUGCCACUGGACCUCUAGGCUGGGGUGCCCCUGUGGAGCUGUUCUGAGUCCCAACACAUCUCCGCCUUGAGCCAGAGCUGAGUAGUUCCAUGGCCUCGAAGCCAGGCUUGUGCAUUACCAGUUCUGUCCUCACCUGUGGAAUGAGAAGAUAAAAUGACAAUUAAUACAUAAAUGUCAUCCUUUUAAAAAACUCGGGACAGAACUGGACAUGGUGGCUUUUGCUGUUAGUCCCAACUACUCAGAGGCUAGGAUAGGAGGAUGGUUUGAGCCCAAGAGUUUGGGACCAGCCUGGGUAACACAGUAAGACCAUGUUUAAAAGAAAAAAAAAAGAUAACUCAGUAUUGUGUCAUGGGCUCCCUGGCUUUUGUUGUUCUAAAAAUGCUUCAGCGAAGCAAUCAAACGUAUACAAAGAGGAGAAGAAAAGCCAACAGUCUGUCUGUCUGUCUGUCUGUCUCUCUCUCUUUCUCUCUCUCACAUACACACACACACACACAUACACACACAAAUUUGAGGGAUAAAUCACAACUCUACAGAAAGAAUCUCGCAGAGGUCAUCUUGUCCAGCCCCCUGCCUCUGGGCAGAAAAGUUCUGGCCUUACCUCGCUCCCCCGCCUCCUCUACCAGUGUCCAUGUGGUCAUAACAGGGGAAACGCAUCGUUCUGACAGCGCUGGCCUUUGUUUGCCUUUGGGCUGUGCGCCUCUGGCUGGCCCCUCAGAAGGCCCUCAUGUCCCUCUCCCCUCCCUGGCGCAUGGUUCUUUAUCAGCUUCUCAGAGCACCUCUGGCUUUUAUUUUCUCCCCACGAACAUUAUCUAUUUGUCCAAUCCAUCCCAAAAUAGCCAGGCCCAGCCAUCCCAUAAUACCCAGAUCCUGUGUCACUCAAAAUUGGGGCCCGGCAGGAGCUCCGCGCUCUCCUUCCUGUCCCUUUCUCUUCUUUAAUAAGCACACCUCGGGCUUCAGUCAAUGUCUCUCCUCCAGAUUCAUGAGUUUGCUGCUUCUGCAGCAGCCCCACAUCCUGACAGAUAAAUCUCCCCCAGAGCUGUCAGCACAGACAGGGGAACAGCACAGCCAGGUCCUCAGAGAGGCGACUGUGGAGACACCAGAUUUAUCACCCACCCUGUCCCCUAAGGUGUCACCUCCUUGACCUUCAGGAUGAAACAGAGGUCAGUGUAUUUUUUAAUGUUUUAUUCUGUGAGGGACCUAGAAACCAAAGGUGCUGCCUCCAAAAAUUCCCUCUCUCCCUUGUCCUUGGUGACAAAUGAAGAGCUUGGUCCCCUUUGUCCUCAGUGGCCCAUGAAGGUUCUGGUCUUGGAACGUGGGAGGUGAGGGGCACUGGCUCCCCGAGGAAGAAGCAACAGUGCUGCUGGCCUUGCUGAGGAUUCACUCCCUGCAGGGAAACACACUGAUUUCUGGCCUGCCCUCCAGGGUCAUUUGGGGUUAAUUUUAUCUGCUUCCGUGUCCCUGGAUGGGCCACACAUUUUUCCUCCUUAGCCAUGUCCAAGGCUCUCGUCUGGAGCAGCCUCAGCACCUUCCCAAGCGAAAUUGAGACAUGUGCUUAUGACAGCGUGUCUCCAUGAAGACAGAUCGCUCUCCCUCCAAGGUCAAAGCUCCCGCUGGCCUGGCUCUUUGGCAAACGAUUCGUCAAACAGGGCAGCGGGCAGCAGCCGGCUCUCAGGCCCCUGGCCGGUCGACUUGUCAAAAUCUUUCAGAGGAUUAUUGUGCCCUGUAGAAUUUUCCUCCUUCUAUUGUCUGUCGGUGCCUCCCCUGCCAUCCCCCCCACCCCGAAACAGAGGGAGGAGUUGGCACGAUAUCAAAAAUGAUGACAGGGACCCAGAAGGCAAAACAAAUCUUCCGCAGAAAUUGGGAAAUUUCUCAGUCAUUUUACGAGGCAAGAGUCGUGGUCCCUUGUGAGGUUGGAAAAAAACAGAACAGUAAAGAUGUUGCCUACUGGGCCUGUCCAUGAACUCGUUUGUCUCACACACUAACGAGGAGGGUCUGGGCCUUGUCCUCUGCCAGCCUGGAGCACAGUGGCUGGCACACAGCGGGGACUCCUUUAUUUGGGUGCUUUUUGCAUAUUCAUUAAGCUCCGACUCCAACUGUUGGUCUGGCCUCCCAUCCCUGCCCUCAUGGAGCAUCCUGUCUUGAAGACGGUGUCAGUCUUUAAAGUAGUGAGGAAACAAUGAACCCAGGGAAGUGUUACAAAGGUUAUUCUGAUGGACAGCCUCCAACUGGGCACUCAAGAAUUCUGCUUCUCUUCAGUCAGAUCCUUCUGGAAUGUUCUCUUCUUCAGUGUGGGCUGGGCUGGAGGUACUGAGUCACCUCUAAAGAAAAGAACAUGAAAAAAGUGAUGGAUUGCUACUUCCAAGAUGAGAAAAGUGACUUUUUUUUUUUUUUUGCUUGUUACCAACCUCUGUCUCAGACCUCACUCUGUGGAAGCAGCUGCUAUGUGUGCCUAGGCCCAAAGGAGACCCAUGUGGCAAGUGGCACCUGGGAGGAACUGAGGCCCGUCAAUGGUCUUGAGAGCUUGCAGUGGAUAUGCCCCAUUUGAACUUUGAGAUGACCACAGCUUCGGUCAACAUUUGGUUCCAGCCUGUGAAAGACACUGAGGAGAAGACCCAGGUAAGCCGAGCUAGGAUCCUUGACCCCAUAGAAACUUGAAGAUCGUGAAACGUUUGUUGAUAAGCUACUUAAUUUGGGGAUAAUGUCUUUACACAGGAAUAGAGUAACAGUGUAGGUAUCCAGUGGAGUUUUCUGAUAAAGAUUUACCACUAAUUAAGUGGGUUGGCCGGGAGAGGACUCACUGAAGGUAUAAUGUUAAAGGAGUAGAUUGGAGGUAAGUUGGACCAGUCAUCCCCAAAGCCAAUCCCAAUAGCAUUCUAGGCAAAAGGAACAACAUGUGACUUGAGUCAACUUUUCAUCACUGUGACCAGAAGAACCAACAACAGCAACUUAGAGGAGGGGAAGUUGAUUUUGGCUCAUGGUUUCCGAGGUUCAGUCCAUGCUUGGCUGACUCCACAGCUCUGGCCCAAGAUGAGGCAGAAUAUCAUGGUGGGAGGACAAGGCAGAGGAAAAUGGCUCAGGACAUGGCGACCAGGAAACAGAGAAUUCCGCUCACCAGAAAUCUGACAAAAUAUAAACCCCAAAGACACACUCCCAGUGACCUACUUCCUCUAGCCACACCCUACCUGCCUACAGGUAGUGCCAAAUUAAUUCAUAUUAGUGGAUUCAUCCACAGAUUAGGUUAGGCCUCUCAUAAUCUAAAUCAUCUCUCCUCUGAGCAUUCUUGCAUUCUUUCACAUGAGUUCUUUGGGGACACAUCAUAUCUAAACCAUAACAAUGCCCAAAGACUCUUAGGCAAGAAAGAAGUUGGAGUAUAUUUUAAGAGUUAUGGCUGGAGUGUGGUACCUGGAUGCUAUGCCAGCCCUUUUAUUUUCACAGUCUUUAUUUCCCAACUCAGCUUUGAAAAGUGGACAUUAUUACCCUAUAAUGUUGCUGGGAAGACUGAGGCAGAGAGACUUCGGUCACUAGCCUGAGGUCACACAGCUAGAAAGGGAUAGGGAUUGAAUUCAAGUGUAGGUGUUUCUGGAUCUAAAACCUGCCUGAUUAUUGUACUUCUUAAUACACAUGAUUUUAUUCAAACAUUUAGCAGCCCCUGCCUCCUUCUAUGUUUUCAAUGCACAUGGGUCCUAUUCUGAAGUACUUGCUAUCUGCAGAGAGAGAGAGAGAGAGGCUGACUGUCAACAUUUUUUUUUCAAUACUAGGAUUGAACCCAGGGUAUUCUACCACUGAGCCACAUCCGCACCCUUAAUUUUUUUUUUUUAAUUUUGAGAUAUGAUCUCACUAAAUUGCUGAGGCUGGUCUCAAGUGUGUGAUCCUCCUGCCUCAAACUCCCAGGGUACUGGAAUUAUAGGUGUGAGCCACCACGCCCACUCAGUCAACAUUUUCAAAGGGGUUUAUUCAUUCAGUCCCCAUAAAACUCUUACAAAGCAGCUGGGGGGAAGAUAUCACUAUGUUUUUGUUAGACGCUUUUGUCACUAUGACCAAAACACCCAAUGAGAGCAAUUUGGGGGGGGGGUUUAUUUGGGGCUUACAGUUCCAGAGAUCUCAGAUGGCCAGUUCCAUUGUACUGGGCCCAAGGUGGAGGAAGGGCUUCUCAAAGGAAAGUGGCUUAGCUCAUGGUGGGGUCAGGAAGCAGAGAGAGAGAGAGAGAGAAGGGGAAUGGGGCUACAGGGAAGAUGCACCCCUCCAGGGCAUGCUCCCAGUAUUUCCUCCGGCCACAACUCCCCUUCCUACUGUUACCACCCAACCAACCAAACUAGGAUGGGUUGAUUAGGCUAAAAUUUAUAAUGCAAUUAUUUUACUUUUGAAUAUUCCUGCAUCAAUACAGGAGCUUUGGUUGGAUAUGUCACGUCCAAACUAUAACACAUUGCACCCAUUUAUUGUGGCCAUUUCAAGAUUUGGAAAGUGAAGUUCAGAAAAGAUAAAUAACCAGCAUAAUGGACUAUUUUAGUAAGGAACAAAAUGAGAUCCUGUCUCCAGGACCUCUGAUCUUCCUACCCUUUCUUCUAACCCAAGUGACCCCAGGGUCCUAAUAUUCAUAGAAUGUCUCUAGGAGAGAUGGAGAAUCCUCUCUAAAGUCCAGAGUAUUCCCUUUGGAACCCAGCUCUUGAAUCACAUUGGAUUUUUAUGGAUCACUGUUGCUUAAAUUGGGGCACAUGUGUGUAUGGCAAUUCUUGUAAAACAGCUGAAUAUGGAGUAAUUAUUUAUGAUACAUGAAAGUCUUUAAAUUUACAGAUUUACCAUUGGCUUUUCUUUAAAAACUAGACUUUCUGAUCUAUUACUCUUAAGAACUUGAGGAAUGACCAAAAUUUUCAGUGCUGUUUAUAUUUCUCAAAACGAGCAAUUUACCUUACAUGACGUAAGUCCUACUACCCUUUUAGUCUUCAUUUACACAUGACUUCCUUAGAAAGGCAUCUGAUUUUUGGACUCAAAUUGGGUUUCCCCUGUUGUGCUUUCACACAUCACCCCAUGAAUCUCCUUCUCAGCUCCCGCCACGACAGGUAAAGAUGUGUUCACUCAGGUGUCCAUUAAUUCAAAGUCUGUCUCCCACACUGAGCUCUAAGCCUUAUGGGCAGAGCAGGUCUGAUUGGAGUUUACUGGUGAAUCUCGACUAGCACAGUUCAGGGACCAAGGACACAUCCUUCUUGCCCUUCAAAGUUUUCAUAGUCGAGUCUGCUAAUCAAACUGACAAUAGAUUAACAGGAGAAAAAGGCAUACAAAUUUGUUUAUGUGAAAGCACGUGGGAGUCACACAAAGUAUGAAACUCAGAAGGGCCAGAUGGUGGAAGCUUAAGGAACAUUCUGAGCCACAGGAAGAAAUAGGGGAUUGGAGUUUCUUGGGGGGAGGUGGUGACAGAAAUGAAUAGGGGCAUGGGGUCCACAGUGGAAGAUACGGGGCAUGGGGUCCACAGUGGAAGAUACAGACCAUGGGAGGGUGAAGGGAGAAAAUGUGUGACAGAAGCUGUCUUGCCAUGCAAAUACGGUCUCUUAGGUAAUAGCCCCAGAAGAUUAGCUGGCUGCUGUGAGUUCCAUGAGGGUACCGGGGAGGGGAUGCAAAACAUUGCUUUUCUUCUGGAGGAACUCCCUUGGUGAGAUAAAGGAACUUCAGAGAAGGUUCUUCCCGGUGCUUCUCUUAGGGAGGCAAAGAGGAUGACGAGAUGGGUGUGGGGAUGAAGGAUGGUCAGAGAGAUUCUGAGUCUGCUUCUUUAGUUCAAGGCAUGCCAAAUGCCCUACUUUGGGCUAUUAUUUUCUGAGUGCCCUCAACAGUGUUUGGGACAUGGUAAGGAUCCAGUGAAUUUUCUGUUGAAUUAAACAAUGUAAUUUGAUGGUUUGGGGUGUAUACUUCAGUGGUAAAGUAGUUUCCUAUCAUGCACUAGACCCUCGGUUCAAUCUGUAGCAUAAGGGUCGUGGUAGGAGAUAGAAAUGAUGGAAUCAGACCUAACAAAAACAAUCACAUUGCUGAAAUAUGGGCACCUGGAAGAUGGAAGGAAUAUAUUUGGGGUAGAAGUGACAUUGUCCUGGAGCAACGUGAAUAUAACAACCACCACAGUAAUAACUGUGGUUCAUAUUUAUUGAGUACUUACUAUGUUUCUGUAAGCAUUUUAAUGGAAUGCUUCAGACAUUUAUAUGUCCUUCUCGCAAGGGACCAUGCCAAACUCCUCUGUAGGCACUGAGUUCCAACUCGUGACUUAGAGACGGUUACUUUGCACAUAGGUAGCCUCACGUGUGAGUGACAAGUUGACCAACUUGUCCUGGUUUGCCUGAGAGCGUCUAGUUUUAAAACUGAAAAUCCAGGCUUCUAGGAACUGUCCCUCAGGCUCAGUCAGAUAGAAUGGUUAGCCCUCUCAGCAAGCCAAAGUACUCAGUGGACUGCGGCCAAAAGAAAAGGAUUUAUAAGAGAGAAGGGAGAGAGGAUAAAUGGGGAAAAAACAGCAGAGAAUCUGGGAGCAGUGAAUCUUGUUGGCAUUUGGCAGGGGUGUGCGUGUGUCAGAUAAACUGAUUAGCUAGCACCUAGAAAAGAGGCCAGGUUGUGCAUUCUGUCCUUGAGCAGAACAGAGGGGAUAUUAAAGAAGACUAUUUAAUUGUUUAUGGUUUCUCCAGAAAACCUUGGGUUUGGCCGUGCAGCGUGUGUGGCGGGCUGCUCCGUGCUACGUUGCCUGCCUCAGAUGGAACUUCCUUGAGGAUGCUCUCCCUGCUCGCCCAUGGUGUUGGCAGAAGAGGGUCGCCUCGUUCUUAAUGAAGAUUCCAAGUACAAGCUCUUGGCUACAGGAACCCUGGUGCUGCAGACAAAGAAGGGUGAAAACUAACUUCUCAAUGACUCAAAAACACAUCUGGGCCCUUAAGGAUGAGGGAAAUUCCUGGAUGUAAUAAAACAUCCUCUCAUUCUUGUGUGCACCCCCCGCCCGCCCAUGCCUGUACCACCCAACUCUCACCUUUUGGAAGAAUGCCUUGUAUAGAGGGGGAGGUGGGAGCAGGAGAGCUGAGUUCUUCAUUCUUGGCGUCAACCACUCAAAUCCAUUCCCUUCAUUUUAAUUGACAAAUUAAAAUUGUAUAUAUUUAUGGAGUAAAAAGUGGUAUUAUGGUUUCUGAAUACAGUGUGGGCUGAUUAAAUCAAGCUAAUUAACGUUUCCUCAAAAUUUCAACAUAUUUU
rnacentral:lncRNA from 1 species